rnacentral:rRNA from 1 species
UACAGAGGUCCCAAGCGUUGUUCGGAUUCACUGGGCGUAAAGGGUGCGUAGGCGGUCGGGUAAGUCUGUCGUGAAAUCUCCGAGCCCAACUCGGAAACUGCGUCGGAUACUAUUCGGCUAGAGGAAUGGAGGGGAGACUGGAAUUCUCGGUGUAGCAGUGAAAUGCGUAGAUAUCGAGAGGAACACCAGUGGCGAAGGCGAGUCUCUGGACAUUUCCUGACGCUGAGGAGCGAAAGCGUGGGGAGCGAACAGG